rnacentral:rRNA from 1 species
GACGAACGCUGGCGGCGUGCUUAACACAUGCAAGUCGAACGGAAAGGCCCUGUUUUUGUGGGAUCCUCGAGUGCCGAACGGGUGAGUAACACGUGAGUAGCCUCCCCUUUACUUUGGGAGAACUUCAUUAAACUGGGGUUAAUACCCCAUAUGAACUCCUGCUGCAUGGUUUUGAUUGUAAAGUUUCGGCGGUUCGGCAUGGACUGGAGGCCUAUCAUCUUGUUGGUGGGGUAGUGGCUUACCAAGGCUCUGACGAGUAGCCGGACUGAGAGGGUGACCGGCCCCAUUGGGAUUGAGAUACGGGCAAGACUGAUACGGGAGGCAGGAGUGGGGAACAGUGCACGAUGGGCGGAAGGAUGAUGCAGGAACGUCGCGUGCGGGAUCACGGUCGUCGGGUUGUAACCCGCUUUCGCCUGUGAAGAAGCGCGAGUGACGGUAAUGGGUCAAGAAGCAACGGCUAACUACGUG